UACGGAAUCCAUUUACCAAGAAACAAAACGAUAAAGCUAAUAAAUCCGUCGCUCAGCUCAGAAUCAAAACACACAAAAAUAUGAAUAUUUUUCUAAUGAAUCGAAGAAAAAAAGUACAUGAGACCAAAUCAUAUUUGAAAACAGAAAUUGGGUUACUAGAAGUACGUAUGUUUGUAAACUCCAACUUAUUUAUCUAAAACGAUGUAAAAACGAAUCACUUUUUUAACAGACAUGACAAAAAUUCACCUCUAUUUUGAUAUUCGUUACUGUCGUAUAUUGAAGUAUCGAGUUGUAUAAUACAUUUAUGAAACAACAAUAUAGUCAAUUGUCAAACGUGUCGUACGUACAAUAAUAUUAUUGCACCGUUUCCUGUAGU